UACGGGGGGGGCAAGCGUUGUUCGGAAUUACUGGGCGUAAAGGGCUCGUAGGCGGCCAACUAAGUCGGACGUGAAAUCCCUCGGCUCAACCGGGGAACUGCGUCUGAUACUGGAUGGCUUGAGUCCGGGAGAGGGAUGCGGAAUUCCAGGUGUAGCGGUGAAAUGCGUAGAUAUCUGGAGGAACACCGGUGGCGAAGGCGGCAUCCUGGACCGGCACUGACGCUGAGGAGCGAAAGCCAGGGGAGCAAACGGG
rnacentral:rRNA from 1 species